CCAGCCCGCUCAGAAACUCAAAUGAAUUGACGGGGCCCGGCACAAGCGGUGGAGCAUGUGGUUUAAUUCGAUGAUACGCGAGGAACCUUACCUGGGCUCAAAUGUAUGUUGACGUAUUCUGAAAGGGAUACUUCUUCGGACAAUAUACAAGGUGCUGCAUGGUUGUCGUCAGCUCGUGCCGUGAGGUGUCGGGUUAAGUCCCAUAACGAGCGCAACCCCUACCUUUAGUUGCCAUCAGGUAAUGCUGGGGACUCUAAAGGAACUGCCUACGCAAGUAGUGAGGAAGGCGGGGAUGACGUCAAAUCAGCACGGCCCUUACGUCCAGGGCUACACACGUGCUACAAUGGCCGAUACAGAGGGCAGCUACCUGGUGACAGGAUGCAAAUCUCCAAAGUCGGUCUCAGUUCGGAUCGGAGUCUGCAACCCGACUCCGUGAAGUUGGAUUCGCUAGUAAUCGCGCAUCAGCCAUGGCGCGGUGAAUACGUUCCCGGGCCUU
rnacentral:rRNA from 1 species